UUUUAUAAAUGAGCAGAGAAAGUUGUUUCUUUAGAUAGAAUCUACUCUUGAUGAAGAUGCUAUGAA
rnacentral:pre_miRNA from 2 species